rnacentral:rRNA from 1 species
CAAUAGCGUAUAUUAAAGUUGUUGCAGUUAAAAGGCUCGUAGUUGGAUUUGUGGCGUACGGUGUGUUCCGGGCACUUGUUGUCUGAGUAACCUGCUGUUGCCAUCCUUGGGUGGAACCUGUGUGGCAUUAGGUUGUCGUGCAGGGGAUGCCCAUCAUUUACUGUGAAAAAAUUAGAGUGUUCAAAGCAGGCUUAUGCCGUUGAAUAUAUUAGCAUGGAAUAAUGAGAUAGGACUUUUUUGCUACUUUGUUGGUUUGCGCAAGAAGGUAAUGAUUAAUAGGGACAGUUGGGGGUAUUCGUAUUCCAUUGUCAGAGGUGAAAUUCCUGGAUUUUUGGAAGACGAACUACUGCGAAAGCAUUUACCAAGGAUGUUUUCAUUAA